GGAAAGAGAGGGAAAGAAACAAAAAGAGAGGGGAAGGGAGGAAUGGGAAAGAAGAGGAGAGGGAAAGAAAGAAAGAAAGAGAGACACACACCAGAGAACUAAUUAACUCCAUUGUUCCUCAGGUCACAAGGUCCCUAUCUGAUCUGCCUUCACUCCGCCUUUCAGAGUCUUAUGUUUGAUUUGUGUAUAUUAUCAAGGGGUUUUAGGUCACUUAGUUGGAAGAAUAGGGAAAAGUAUAUCUACUCUAGUUUUGUGGAAGUGGAAUUCUUCUGAGAACCUCUUUUUUUAUACAAAAUAUGUACUUGUGCAUAUUUUGUAUCAAAAUAUAUAAUGUACAUGUCCAUUUUGUACAUGUAUAUAAAUUGUAUAUAAGUAUUUAGGGUUAUAAAAAUAACCAAAGACACCAAAAACUGCCACAGGUGGAUUUGAGAAGACGUUGAAAUGCCUCCCCUGCUAAGACACGCUCCUCCUUGACAGAGUGGGAACCCUGAAAGCUGUAGUGUCACCACUGCCCUGUCCUGUACCUACCUAUCUUUUGACUCAUUUCCUCCAAGCUCAGGUUUUCAGUUUUCGGUGUGUGCCACCUAAAACUGAGCUGUGGAACUGCAGCACAAUCAUCAAAUUCAAAAAAGGCAAGGACAUCUUGCUCAGAUUUUAAGAUACACCAUAGAUGGAGUAAACUAAAACCUUUGAUUCCAGAUCCUUAACCCCGAUUACAAACAACACAACCCUUCAUGCCUAUUUAAAACGUCCCUUGCAAAAGAUGGUUUGAAUAUUCCAAGUUGGAAAUACCCAGUCUUUUUAAGUUACAGCACCCUUUUUGAUACAAAAAAUGGGCAUGACAGAAAUUGUAUAGUGAGUAGUGUUAUAAAAAUAACCAAACACACCAAAAGCUGCCACGGGUAAAUUUGAGAAAGUGCUGAAAUACACCACACAGCAUGAGACCUUGCUGGCUCUGUCUAAUAGAUGACGCUGGGGCUGCAAAUGGUGUCCCAGCCUUCCAGCGUCUGUGGUCUCCAGAACAGGGCUGAAACCUGUUCUGCACUGACACUGCUCUCCUAAGAAGACCCCAAGUUGAGAGGAGCCUCUUACCCACUCAUCUAUAAUCAAAGCAGACUUGAUGCCCAUCAGAGUUGCCCAGUGAUUCUGAUUCAGUAUGGCGGGAAUCUAAAAGGUUGAGGAUGGAGAAGCCUGCAGGAUGGCAAAGUGAGGGACCCCGGCAGUGGGACCUCAGGAAUCCACCCCUGAAACUCUGACUGGGGUGCCCGUGGAGGCUCUGAAGGUACAGCAGUCAGGCGCUCUGUGGCAUUCUGAAUACUGACAUGCAGCCUUCGGCCUCUGCCAGCUUUUGUGAGCUGCCCUGCACCAGGCAGAGGUGGCCCCCAGGCCUGGCACAGGGUCUGACACAUGGCACAUGCUAUAGAAAUAACUGUGGACUGCCUGACUGCAAGAUCUCAUUGAACAUCUGGAACAUCUGGCCUCAGCCUGUGCUGCUGCAGCCAGGAGCGAAUACAGGGAAGUCCGGGUAAGGAGAACGCAUGCCUGUGUGGGCCCCAAGGAUCCAUCUCAAGA